rnacentral:lncRNA from 1 species
GUCAGAAGCACGAGCAUUCAAAUGCAUGCACGGCCGAGUCAAAGACAUCGCCUGGAAUCCUCGCUGUAUUUUGGAAAAGUCAUCAUUCGGGGCCUCCGUGCCCCCCUUCUCAGUCUGGGCUCCAAGAAUCAGCCGCUCCAUAAGAAGAAGGGCGGGUCUUCCGGGGGUUUCUCCCGUGUUCAUUUUAAACAAAACACCAGUCUGACAUCCAACAAAGAGGGUCAUUGGUCAUCAUCAAGUUAGUAAGUUAGGGUUUUAAGUUAGCGUUUUUCUUUGGUUUUUUUCCCC